rnacentral:rRNA from 1 species
UACGUAGGGACCAAGCGUUGUUCGGAUUUACUGGGCGUAAAGGGCGCGUAGGCGGCAAUUCAAGUCAGCUGUGAAAUCUCUGGGCUUAACCCAGAACGGCCAGCUGAUACUGCUUUGCUAGAGUGCAGAAGGGGCAAUCGGAAUUCUUGGUGUAGCGGUGAAAUGCGUAGAUAUCAAGAGGAACACCUGAGGUGAAGACGGGUUGCUGGGCUGACACUGACGCUGAGGCGCGAAAGCGUGGGGGAGCAAACAGG